UGGGGAAUAUUGGACAAUGGGGGAAACCCUGAUCCAGCAAUGCCGCGUGAGUGAAGAAGGCCUUAGGGUUGUAAAGCUCUUUCGCCCGCGAAGAUAAUGACGGUAGCGGGAGAAGAAGCCCCGGCUAACUCCGUGCCAGCAGCCGCGGUAAUACGGAGGGGGCUAGCGUUGUUCGGAAUUACUGGGCGUAAAGCGUACGUAGGCGGAUGCGCAAGUUGGGGGUGAAAUCCCGGGGCUUAACCUCGGAAUUGCCCUCAAAACUGCACGUCUUGAGACCGAGAGAGGUAAGGGGAAUUCCUAGUGUAGAGGUGAAAUUCGAAGAUAUUAGGAAGAACACCAGUGGCGAAGGCGCCUUACUGGCUCGGUACUGACGCUGAGGUACGAAAGCGUGGGGAGCAAACA
rnacentral:rRNA from 1 species